rnacentral:lncRNA from 1 species
GUACCGGCGGCGGGCAGGCAGGCAGGCAGCGCGACCGCCCCCAGCCCUCCAGCUGGCUCCUACAGCCUCUAGUUGCCAAGGCUCCUGAGAGAGGGUGAGGGGUGACAUCUGAGCCCCUCCAAAACCAAAGCCUCAUGUCCACGCUCGCUAACGUUACCAGUUCUGCAUCGUGCUGAAGUGUGGACACAUCAGAGAAGAACAACCCAUCUAGCACGGGACAGCUUGGAGGAGUGGUAUUGUGUGCACCAGAAAUGCGAGAGGAAUUGAAGGUGAGCCCCAGACCUGCCUGUGGUCGGCACUCUCUGACUUCGGCCACACCGCGCAGAUGGAGCAACAU